rnacentral:rRNA from 1 species
UACGGAGGGGGCUAGCGUUGUUCGGAAUUACUGGGCGUAAAGGGCGCGUAGGCGGCGCGAGCAGUCGGCGGUGAAAGCCCGGAGCUCAACUCCGGGUCGGCCGUCGAUAUUCUCGUGCUUGAGCACUGUAGAGGCAGGUGGAAUUCCGGGUGUAGCGGUGGAAUGCGUAGAGAUCCGGAAGAACACCGGUGGCGAAGGCGGCCUGCUGGGCAGUAGCUGACGCUGAUGCGCGACAGCGUGGGGAGCAAACAGG